rnacentral:rRNA from 1 species
CAGCCGCCGCGGUAAUACGGAAGGUCCAGGCGUUAUCCGGAUUUAUUGGGUUUAAAGGGAGUGUAGGCGGUCUGUUAAGCGUGUUGUGAAAUUUAGGUGCUCAACAUUUAACUUGCAGCGCGAACUGGCGGACUUGAGUGCACGCAACGUAUGCGGAAUUCAUGGUGUAGCGGUGAAAUGCUUAGAUAUCAUGACGAACUCCGAUUGCGAAGGCAGCGUACGGGAGUGUUACUGGCGCUUAAGCUCGAAGGUGCGGGUAUCGAACAGGAUUAGAUACCCGAGUAGUCCCUGUCUCUUAUAC